GGCGAUGGCAGUGGCGAUGGCGGCGGCGAAGGGUCCGAGGCGCGCGUGGCCGGUCGCUGGCGGUGGCGCCUGGUCAUCGUGUCCCCCUUUUUUUGGUGCCCGCCUUUUUUUUCUCUCUUUCUUUCCCUACUCUUUUUCUUUUCUCUCGUGCUCGCGCGCCGAGGGCGUGUCGCUGGCGCUGCGGUUGUCGUCGGUUAUGCGUGCGUGGACCGGCGGCAGCGGCGGCGGUGUGUCGGUCUGUCGCGGCCGUUUCUCCUUUUCUCUUGGGGCUUCCUGUCUUGCGUGUUCAGGCGUCGUGAUGCGGGCGGGUGCGCGCCGGCGCCAGCACGGGGUUUGGCGGCGGGGAAGCGAC
rnacentral:lncRNA from 1 species